UACAGAGGUCUCAAGCGUUGUUCGGAUUCAUUGGGCAUAAAGGGUGCGUAGGUGGUGGGGUAAGUCGGAUGUGAAAUCCCGGGGCUCAACCCCGGAACUGCAUUCGAAACUGCCUUGCUCGAGUACUGGAGAGGAGACUGGAAUUUACGGUGUAGCAGUGAAAUGCGUAGAUAUCGUAAGGAAGACCAGUGGCGAAGGCGAGUCUCUGGACAGUUACUGACACUGAGGCACGAAGGCCAGGGGAGCAAACGGG
rnacentral:rRNA from 1 species